AUUGAACGCUGGCGGCAUGCCUUACACAUGCAAGUCGAACGGUAACAGGUCUUCGGAUGCUGACGAGUGGCGAACGGGUGAGUAAUACAUCGGAACGUGCCUAGUAGUGGGGGAUAACUACUCGAAAGAGUGGCUAAUACCGCAUGAGAUCUACGGAUGAAAGCAGGGGAUCGCAAGACCUUGUGCUACUAGAGCGGCCGGUGGCAGAUUAGGUAGUUGGUGGGAUAAAAGCUUACCAAGCCGACGAUCGGUAGCUGGUCUGAGAGGACGAUCCGCCACACUGGGACUGAGACACGGCCCAGACUCCUACGGGAGGCAGCAGUGGGGAAUUUUGGACAAUGGGCGAAAGCCUGAUCCAGCAAUGCCGCGUGCAGGAUGAAGGCCUUCGGGUUGUAAACUGCUUUUGUACGGAACGAAAAGCCCCGGGUUAAUACCCUGGGGUCAUGACGGUACCGUAAGAAUAAGCACCGGCUAACUACGUGCCAGCCGCCGCAGUAA
rnacentral:rRNA from 1 species